UUUCAGGGAAGGCAGUUUGGCCUUAAAGGGGGAGGCAGCUGCAGGUGGGUGUUAGCAGAUGCCUGCCAACACUGCAGAGAGUAACACAGCUACUGCAGGGCCUUGAGUCAGUAGGGGAAAGACACCAGUGGGGGAAAGCCUGUGGAAAAGGCCAAGCUCCAAGCAACAGGAUGCUUGAAGAACCUCUUUUGGUAGCUGCUCACUUCAGACUGCAAGGAAACCCAUCAGGGUUCAAAGUGAGCAAGGGUGAACCUUAGAUGCAUAUGCUCCUCAAUUUCUUCAGAAGAUAUGAAAUGGCUAAUGAACGAAGUGAUCCAGCUAUGACAGGUACAGCACGGGCAGUAGCACUGCAAGCUUCCUCACAGCCUAUGCUACCAGUGUGCCUCAACCCCGACUUAGUAGUUCAGUCUCCAUGCUCAUUGAGUCUGUGAUCUCUUCUGAGACAACCAACAAGGAUAUGGGGGAUGGGAAGAGAGAUGG